GACGAACGCUGGCGGCGUGCUUAACACAUGCAAGUCGAGCGGUGAACCAGGGCUUGCCCUGGGGAUCAGUGGCGAACGGUGAGUAACACGUGGGCAACCUGCCCCUGACUCUGGGAUAACUCCUCGAAGAGGUGCUAAUACCGGAUACGACCACUUCGGGCAUCCGAUGGUGGUGGAAGAAUUUUGGUCAGGGAUGGGCCCGCGGCCUAUCAGCUUGUUGGUGGGGUAACGGCCCACCAAGGCGACGACGGGUAGCCGGCCUGAGAGGGCGACCGGCCACACUGGGACUGAGACACGGCCCAGACUCCUACGGGAGGCAGCAGUGGGGAAUAUUGCGCAAUGGGCGAAAGCCUGACGCAGCGACGCCGCGUGAGGGACGACGGCCUCGGGUUGUAAACCUACUUUCAGCAGGACGAAGCGAAAGUGACGGUACCUGCAGAAGAAG
rnacentral:rRNA from 1 species